AUUAGUGGCGAACGGGUGAUUAACACGUGGGCAAUCUGCCCUGCACUCUGGGACAAGCCCUGGAAACGGGGUCUAAUACCGGAUACUGACCCUCGCAGGCAUCUGCGAGGUUCGAAAGCUCCGGCGGUGCAGGAUGAGCCCGCGGCCUAUCAGCUUGUUGGUGAGGUAAUGGCUCACCAAGGCGACGACGGGUAGCCGGCCUGAGAGGGCGACCGGCCACACUGGGACUGAGACACGGCCCAGACUCCUACGGGAGGCAGCAGUGGGGAAUAUUGCACAAUGGGCGAAAGCCUGAUGCAGCGACGCCGCGUGAGGGAUGACGGCCUUCGGGUUGUAAACCUCUUUCAGCAGGGAAGAAGCGAAAGUGACGGUACCUGCAGAAGAAGCGCCGGCUAACUACGUGCCAGCAGCCGCGGUAAUACGUAGGGCGCAAGCGUUGUCCGGAAUUAUUGGGCGUAAAGAGCUCGUAGGCGGCUUGUCACGUCGGUUGUGAAAGCCCGGGGCUUAACCCCGGGUCUGCAGUCGAUACGGGCAGGCUAGAGUUCGGUAGGGGAGAUCGGAAUUCCUGGUGUAGCGGUGAAAUGCGCAGAUAUCAGGAGGAACACCGGUGGCGAAGGCGGAUCUCUGGGCCGAUACUGACGCUGAGGAGCGAAAGCGUGGGGAGCGAACAGGAUUAGAUACCCUGGUAGUCCACGCCGUAAACGGUGGGCACUAGGUGUGGGCAACAUUCCACGUUGUCCGUGCCGCAGCUAACGCAUUAAGUGCCCCGCCUGGGGGAGUACGGCCCCAAGGCUAAAACUCAAAGGAAUUGACGGGGG
rnacentral:rRNA from 1 species